ACGGAAGGCAGCAGUGGGGAAUAUUGGGCAAUGGGCGAAAGCCUGACCCGGCAACGCCGCGUGAAGGAUGACGGUCUUCGGAUUGUAAACUUCUUUAAUUGGGGAAGAAUAAAUGACCUACCCAAAGAAUAAGUCACGGCUAACUACGUGCCAGCAGCCGCGGUAAUACGUAGGUGACAAGCGUUAUCCGGAUUUACUGGGCGUAAAGGGCGUGUAGGCGGUUUGGCAAGUCAGAAGUGAAAUUCCUGAGCUCAACUCGGGCGCUGCUUCUGAAACUGCAUAACUUGAGUACUGGAGAGGAAAGCGGAAUUCCUAGUGUAGCGGUAAAAUGCGCAGAUAUUAGGAGGAACACCGGUGGCGAAGGCGGCUUUCUGGACAGUAACUGACGCUGAGGCGCGAAAGCGUGGGGAGCAAACAGGAUUAGAUACCCUGGUA
rnacentral:rRNA from 1 species